AUUCUCAUGCCUCAACCUCCCAAGUAGCUUGGAUUACAGGGCGCAGCCUCCAGCCUGAAGACAUGGACUCAGUGGAGCCAGCACUGUACUAUAAGCCAGCAUGGUUAACUGCACUGUGACAGCCUGACAGAACACUGAUGCUGUGUGCAGGAAAGAUUUCUGGAGAUGAAAUUGUGUAGUCAAUGAACGUUUUUAGAUUCUGACACAUAGUGCUAAAUGAUCCUCGGAGAAAGGUUUUAACCAAUUCCACGAGCUGCAUAUAGGGAAACUGAGAUACAAAGGAGUUAAACCAGUAAUUCAAAUGAUGGCUUCUACUAUGAAUUCUUACCCAUCAUGUGCCAUCACAGAUAAACCAGGAGCCACCUAUAGUACUAUAUUCAUUCCAAGGGUCCCACUGUAUCGCCCAGUCUGGAGUAUGGUGGCG